rnacentral:tRNA from 9 species
AGGGACUUAGGAUAACAUAGUCCAAGGGCCUUCAAAGUCCUCAGCGGGGGUGAAAAUCCCCCAGACCCUG